ACUUGAGUAGCUUAUCAUUAGAGCAUAGCACUGAAGAUGCUAAGGAAGCGACACUACGCUCUUAAGUA
rnacentral:tRNA from 1 species